GGCCUCAAAAUAGUCAGCUUGCGACAGCAGUGUUUGUGAAGGCGGAGGCGCACAUGAGGGUGAUUCAGGGACUGCUUGAGGCUGGGCAAACGGAGAAAGUCCCACUG
rnacentral:SRP_RNA from 1 species